CUGACAUCUUAUUUUUUGAUGUCUUCCCUAAAGUAAUAUGUUCCAUUCCAUCUAAUUGAUGUAGGACAUCUUCCCCAGACAAUUGUUUAGGUGCUGCUCUAUGCUCUUCAUUUCCAUCAAAGGACUUUUUAUCACGUCGAAAUCUAUGAUCAAUUGGCAAAAAUCGACGAUGACCCAUGUAACACCAUUUCCGUCCGUUUUGUAAUCGAAAUGAAGAACAAUCCUUAUUACAAAUAGGACAAGCAAAUUUCCCUUUAGUACUCCAACCUGAAAGAUUUGCAUAUGCAGGAAAAUCAUUGAUGGUCCAUAAUAUAGCUGCACGCAUACAAAAAUUUUGUUUUGUUGAAGCAUCAUAUGUUUCAACUCCAAC
rnacentral:lncRNA from 1 species